rnacentral:rRNA from 1 species
UUCGCAAUGCCCGAAAGGGUGACGGAGCGACGCCGCGUGUAGGAUGAAGUCCUUCGGGAUGUAAACUACUUGUCAGGGGAAAGAAAGUCUGUCUCGUGCACAUGGGCUGAUCUACCCCAGAGGAAUAAGGCACGGCUAACUCUGUGCCAGCAGCCGCGGUAAGACAGAGGUGCCAAGCGUUAGGCGGAAUCACUGGGCUUAAAGCGUGUGUAGGCGGAUCGUUAAGUGCCUUGUGAAAUCUCCACGGCUCAACCGUGGAAAGGCUGGGCAUACUGGCGGUCUUGAGCUGCCUAAGGGCAACUGGAACAAACGGUGGAGCGGUGAAAUGCGUAGAUAUCGUUUGGAACGCCCGUGGCGAAAGCGAGGUCCUGGACGUCUGCUGACGCUGAGACGCGAAAGCUAGGGGAACAAACGGGAUUAGAUACCCCGGUAGUCCUAGCCGUAAACGAUGGGCACUAAGUAGAGGGGUUUU